UGAGUCAAGAAGCAAGGGGCCAACCACCUUAAGAGCUAUUGGACUAAGAAGCACUCCAAAUUGAGUGAAACACCAAAGAUAGAAUAGCCACCACAAUUGAGGACUUUUUUUUUGUAAUUUUGUAAUUGGCAAUUUGCUUUGCUUUCAAAUUUUGUAACAAAAAGGCCUUUCAUUGGAAGUAAGUUGGGAGCCUCCAAUAGGUCACCCUACUUCCAUUUGUGUGU
rnacentral:lncRNA from 1 species